GUUUACGGCCAUAUCACGUUGAAAACGCCAGUUCUCGUCCGAUCACUGAAGCUAAGCAACGUCGAGCCUGGUUAGUACUUGGAUGGGUGACCGCCUGGGAAUACCAGGUGCUGUAGACUU
rnacentral:rRNA from 11 species